CCCAUUUUUCUCAUCAAAACGGCUCCCAUUCCUCCAGUUACCGGGGCUGCUCUUAAGAACUGAUCCUAUCCAAAGAAAGAAAGCUUUGUAAUUAAAUGCUGGGGAGAAAACAUGCCAAUGACGUGUGACUAGACAUUAAGUUCAUCAAGGUGCUCUGAUGGAAGGAGGCAGCUGUGGAGGUUCAUCCGUCCCUCUUUUCCAGGGAACACUCCUAAAAAAAAGGGCAACUGUGCAGAGUACAAUAUAAAUCCCCAAAUAACCCAGGUUUCCAAUUUUGUUUCCAUUCCCUAGUAUCAUCAUCUGUUUCUUUACCCCAGUGUGAAAAAGCUGAUUAAUUUAAUGAGACCACAAUAAUAAACUGUAUUUAUCAGGUCACAUCCAAAUCAUUCCAUUCUAGAAAUAAAAGUUCUUUUAAACCAACUACUUUAAAUGUUUUACUGAUUAAUGAGAAUACUGAUAAAACUUUGCUUUUUUUGUAAUCUAAAAAUACACUGCAACAAACUAAAAAGAACAUGGAGGAUGUUGGUAUUCCAUGUGUUUUUUUAACACAUAAGGCAGAUGCUGGACUAUACUAAAGAAGAGCCGAAAUGAUCGUUUGACAGGUUUUCUAAACACAACUAAACGUUUAAUGAGUAGACAAUAUUUGUGAUAUUUAACAUGGAUGAUACAUCCUAAAUUUUCAGCUGCCUAAUGACUUCUACAUGUUGUGGCCCAUUUUUAAUUUUAAAAAGUUUCUUUUUUAAUUGAUACUAGCAUCAAAUAUUCUUCAGUAAUUCUAUACAAAUGAAUCUUUUCCUUUAAGUGCUACUUUUAUCUAUAAUUUAAAAUUUGGUCUGAACAUAUCUUUAUCUCAUAAUUUAUCAAAAUAAUUUGCUUCCCAAAGUAUAUCUUACAUAAAAUAUAAAGUCGAAGCCUUUUUUAAAGGUGCUACUAAACAUUUUAAAGUUAUUUACUUAAAGUCUGUUAACUGCCUACAAGACUGCAAAUACCAGAAGAAAUUAUUUUAGGGGAAAACCAAUUGAGUCAGUAAAAGAUUCACUUUUUAAAAGUUAUUUAAGUUAUUAACACAUUUAGAAGUAUACAAACAUUAUGGAUCAGCACAUCAUUAGAUAAAGACCAAAAUUUUGUAAUGGAAGCACAUUCAGAAGUUUCUACCUAGCAGUGUACAUGACUCUGUAUUAUGUGCCUAUUUUAACACCCAUAAGCUUUAUUUCUAACUUCCUGAAAUAUUGGCUGAGUACUUAGCUUCAAGAAUAAAUAGUAUUAAAGAAUUAAAACUAAAGAAAUAGAUGUACAUUUAUAGUUCUUCCAAAGAUGAAAGACAUUUUUUCAAAUAUUAUAUAAAUCACUUUCAUAGUAACUAUAAUAUAGAAGUCCAAGAUUAAUCCAAUCUUUAAAAUAUUUUGCUAUAUACAUUUUCACCCUUUAUUCUAACACCAACCCUCAGCAAACUGCAGAAAUUGUAAUUUCUUAAUGAAUCUAACUGUGUACUCACUAUACACAUCAGUGCAACUACUUCCCAAAAAAAGGCAGGCAUAAUGAGUAUACAUGAUGUUUCAUAUUAAUUUGUUAGUAAGAUCAACAAAGAUAAAGCUAUCAAAAUUGAAAUAAAUGUUACAAGAUUAAAAUACACAAAGCAACCAAUGUCUCAUUUUUCAGAAAUUCAGCUCAUUCACUGGCACUCAUAGCAACUCUCUAUAGGUAACCAUCACGUUACUGAUUACCACUAGACACCUCAGAGACUUUGAAAUUCCAAAGAGUUACUUGCCCACGAUUACACAAGGAGUCAGGAGUACAACAGGAUAAAGAAACCUUCCCAAUCCAUUAGACCACGCGGCCUCCCAGUUUCAGCACUGCUAUGCUGCCAGUACUCCUGUAACAAAUUUCCCAUCACCCAUCCAACCAAGCUUUGUCCCUUCACCAGAACGCGCUUCUUCAGAAUGCCCUUCUUAGCCACCUAAGACUCCCCCAAUGAUGAGGCAGCCGUAGGUGGAGUUCACAGGUCUCACUGCAGAAUCUGAAACCAGAUGCACCUACAUCUUCGUAGCACGAGGCGUCCAUUCUCUCCCUUGAUUUUAGGUCUUACAUAUCUGUUUUGUCAUGAAAUUAGUGGUUCUCAAAUUGAGCCUGUGGAUCACCAGAGGCCACUAGGGCCUAAAUGGUGGUCCACAGAUUAAUCUCCAUCCCAUCCCCUUCACCACAGCCCACCCCACUCCAGCCAUCCUCCCUCAGGCUUCCAGUCCCAUGGCAAGAUCACCACAUGCAGAGCUAAUACUAGGGCCUCCCAACCACUUGCUGUAACCAGCAGCUGACAACCAAAAGGUCCUGGGGCUACAGGUCACAAGAGGAGUGAGGAACGGGGGCCAAGAGAUCUUACAAGAAGGCACAGGCACUAAUAAAGCAGGUGGGGUGCGAGGGCAAAGGAAUAGAGGAAUGGAAAAUUAAGGUGGUAGAGGGCUCUUGGGGGCAGUGAUCCACUAAAAAUAAACCUGUAAUAAAGUAUCCCAUGAUGAAGAAAAAUUUGAGAACCACUGCUUUGAAAUGAUUAGGUUAGUAGUCCGGCAGGAACUGUGGAAUAUUCUGAACAGCACCUGAUACGCUAUUAGCGUUCAAAAUAAAGUUAAAUCACCCCUUCAAAAGCAGCAGUAACAAUUUUUAAAAUAACCUUAUAAAUUAGUGGCUCUUGAGCCACAUUUAUACAUUUGCCAUUUUCUCAUGAAUCCAGUCCGUCUUCAGUGU